GAGUUUGAUCGUGGCUCAGAUUGAACGCUGGCGGCAGGCUUAACACAUGCAAGUCGAGCGGAGAUGAGGUGCUUGCACCUUAUCUUAGCGGCGGACGGGUGAGUAAUGCUUAGGAAUCUGCCUAUUAGUGGGGACAACAUUCCGAAAGGGAUGCUAAUACCGCAUACGUCCUACGGGAGAAAGCAGGGGAGUCUUCGGACCUUGCGCUAAUAGAUGAGCCUAAGUCGGACUAGCUAGUUGGUGGGGUAAAGGCCUACCAAGGCGACGAUCUGUAGCGGGUCGUGAGAGGAUGAUCCGCCACACUGGGACUGAGACACGGCCCAGACUCCUACGGGAGGCAGCAGUGGGGAAGUAUUGGACAAUGGGGGGAACCCGUGAUCCAGCCAUGCCGCGUGUGUGAGAA
rnacentral:rRNA from 1 species